rnacentral:lncRNA from 1 species
UGUCAUGGUUUUGUAACUUCGCUAUUGGUAUUCCACAUCAUAACAUCAUGGACAAAAGAGAAGAACUACGUAUCCCAGAGGACCUCACGGUCAGAGAAGGAAGACACAUCACGGAAGAUACGUCAUCUGGUUGCGCGCGGUGCUUCUUCACUUUCGCUUGCUGCCGGGAGAGGAGUGGGUGUGCUUUCCAAGCCGGGCGCCUUCAUCAAGUAAGGCUUUCGGUUUCGGAAACUCUCUCACUCUCUCUCUCUCCCUCUCUAUCGCUCUUUCGCUCUCUCUCCCUCAUUCCAUUUGGUUUAUUAUACUUACUCCCAAUUAGAUUGUAUUGUAUCGUGUCAUCUUGCAUCUCAACAUCAUAGUUAGAAAAAUAAGUUCUCCUCCUUAGAUUGUUGCCACCGCUUCGUUUUUCUCGG